GGGGAGGGCGGGCCGCCGGGGCAGCGGAAGGCUGGGCUAGCUUCUCGAGCGGCAGCCCCCGGGGAAGGCCGAGGGCCGCGCGCGGGACAUGGCGAAGCGGAGCCCGGGGGGGCACCGUGCAGCAGCACCGCUGCCAAGGAGGAUACAAGAAACCUGACAGAGGGAUGUGAUGGAUUACCUUCCCUCAAGUGAACUUUCUCCUAUUCCCCUCAAUUACCAGUUUUUGAUCUACAGGAUGAGAUCGUCCAUCUGUGUGCCUUUCACGUGAUUAUCUUGAAUCAGAUCCGGAUGCACCUGUUCCACAGUUACUUGUGCUGGAUCCACUUGUACCUGAAUUACUGGUAGUACAUGGACUUGCUCCACUUGUUCUAUAAUAG